rnacentral:tRNA from 1 species
GCCUCUGUAGCUCAAUGGAUAGAGCACGUCACUAACGAAGACGGAGAUACGGGUUCGAGUCCCGUCAGGGGCA